AUUGAAUGGUUUGUUUUAGCCUGAGCUAUGAGUCAUCGGAAUAUGCAUAGCUUCUUGCUAAAACAUGCCAAUCAAU
rfam:Caenorhabditis elegans chromosome II